rnacentral:lncRNA from 1 species
GUUAAAGGUCAAAGGAAUUAAGAUAUAAACAUGACUGUAAAUUGUUAAGAUCCUCAAGUAUUAGCAAGGUUUUUAUGAUUUUCGUGACAUUCUAAACCAUGUAGGUUAUCAUUUAUUAGUUUCCUUUAAAUAAAUCUUAGGCCAACUUACUUUUUAAAAAAAAAAAAAACCCAGAGCUUUCUAUUAAGCAAUACCAAAGGCAACCACAGAUUUGAUAUUUUACUGAUUGUUCUUCCUCAUUACACAUACAAACCAAUUCAUAGUCAGUCCUUUGUCAUUUGUGCAAGGCCAGAGUCACUGCCUCCCAACAUUAGACGACACCGAUUGCUAAACCUCAUUAUCUGUGGAAUUUGUCUUGGGUGAGCAACAAGAGCUGAAGGGUUCAUUGUGGCCUCUGACUUCCCAGCUCUCUUUCCUGCCCUCUCAGUGUCACUCUUAAUGGCUCACAGGUGGCAAGCAUGACCUCAUGUCUGCUUUGGGAUCACAGAAACAGUGACCGGUGCUCCGAGGCAAGAGCAGAGAUGGUUUGCUCCAAGUGGUUGACUGACAAGAGACCAGGGGAACCUUCAGGGGGGCCAGGAGUGACAGGCAGCUUUGUCAACAAUGCUGGGAGAGAAACAUCUCUCUAGCAAGAAUCUCUGAGCACGCUAACCAGACCACAGCUGAGCACCCCGGAAUCCACCUGCUCCAGGAAAAGUUUCCAUCUUCCAAAAGCUAUGGAUCCCAUAUCUUAAUUAGUUACUUCGGGUACACUGACAACAGAGCACCCCCAGCAAAGACAACAGUUGGGCUUUGGAUCAAGAACACAGGGUCUGCAUAGCCCAGAGCUGGCAUGGUUCCUGGGGUCUGGCCAAGAAGAAGUGACCACUGUCUUCCAGCCCAGGAGCCAUGAGCUGCAUGGAAAGAAUGUGAAUGAAGACACCAUUCUAAAUGUAGACUCAUGGGUGCUAUGUGAGCCACCGUGCUUUGAAUGGUCUAGAAAAACAAGGCUUGCUUGUCCGUCCACCAGGAACAUAAAUAAAGUUGUCCUCAGACAGUGUGUUACCAUGUCCCAUCCCUGCAAAUGACAGCUCAUAGCAGGAGAAGACUAUCUGCUUAAUGGUGGGAGCAAAAAUGGCCGAGCUGUGUCCCUGAUGCACGUGAUGAUCGCUAGCUUCAUCUUACAGUAACUUCAACCUGUGCCGUGACUGUGUUAAUUAGACAUGGUUAAAGUCUGGGAACAAGGGCCUUGCACAAUGGCUUCUAUAGUUGGUUUUUGGCACUCACAUCCCUGCAAAGAUUAUGAGGUAACUCAUCUGAUUCUUCUACCCUUGUGACCUGGACAUGGGUGACUUUUUUUUUUUUUUUUUGGCCAGAACUAAGAUUUCUUUGGGAAUCAUUUCUGUCAAUGUCUUUGGGAGCCUGGUGCAUCUUCCUGGCUUGAUAAUAAAAUGAAAAAGCUAGCCAGUAUAUACAGAACACUUACACUGUACCUCCUACCAUUCAGUGUUCUUACAUUAGUGAGCCACACACCACAUACCCUUAAGCUCAGCCUUUUGCUCCACCCCAUGAGCUGUUUGCUAUCCUGGAGCUUCAAGAGGAAGAGGGAAGAAAGUCAGACACUUCCACUGCCCUUAGUGAACUAUUGCUACUAGUUGGGCCAUACCCUCUAAAGGCUCCAUAGCCUUCAGAGUCAUUCCUCAUCUGGGCUUGCUGCUGGGUGAGUUCAAGGCUAGCUUGAGCGACUUCAUGAGCUACUGUCUCAAAAUUAAAACAAAGUAUAAAUUAAAGGAAGACUGGUGAUUUUGUUUAGUGAACAUGCCUAGCAUCCAUGAGGCCCCAGGUUUAAUCCCUAGCACAGGAGUCGGGGCAAGGUUGAGACAUACUGAACAGCUGGGGUAGAAUGCUCAAAACAUGAGCCUCUGUGGCACAUCUCAGAUCCAAACCAUAGUGCUCUUUUGGGAAUAUGAGAUCCGUGUGUACACAGAGGGACACUGACUGCUUAUGCUGGUUCAGUGUCUGGCACCGAGAGCUGAACUUAAAAGGAGUGCUUCAUUAGUAGCUUAAAAUCUGGAUGCAGCUCACAGACCCUGGUGGCAGAGGAUAUUUCCAUGGGGCUGCUGUUCUUCCUGUCUGGAUACAGUUGGGGGGUGUCCUAGUUGAUGGAGGGAAAUCUUGGCUUAAGGGUAAAAUAGGCCCCUUGAGGCUUAACCUUUGGGGUUCCUUGGUAAAGACUUCACAGUGAAAGACUGUGAAGUGUGUGUGUGUGUGAGUGUGUGUGUGUGUGUGUGUGUGUCUGUGUGUGAGACUUAGUAAUCCCGAGACACACAAACACUUCAAUCAUGUCCUGUAUCAUUCACAUGUUGGGAUGAUCGUAUAGAUGAUCUACAACUUACACUGGUCCUGCAUGAGAUUUCCCAUUUUAUGUCAAUGAUAAAGUGGCAUGUGUCUGGUGGUCAGCCUCACAGUAUGAAUGUUGACUGUUUCUAGGCUGGCAGUGUCUAGCCUUAGAGUUCUGGUGAUGCUGGGCAGAGACAAGAAGCUGUACCAUCUAUGAAGGGAGCAACUCGCUCGACAAUGUGUGCUCUGCUAAGGUGUUGCUUUGCAUCUGAUGAAUUUUCAACUGAGGAUUUCAACUUACCAUGUGCUUGGUGGACCAUAACCUCAUUGUAAACUGGGAAACCUGAUUUGGUUUAAUAAAACAUAUCAUUAGA